AAGCUUAACAGAGAAGAUCACCGGAGAUUCCCGCCACUGAACGGGAAAAGGUAAGUACCGUUGUCACCAGUGUCACCUGCACUAUCUGUCAGUACCGCCACUUUUGUGUAGGUGACACUGGUGACAUAUUUCCAUUAAAAACAAUAAAAGAAAAAGAAGGUUAAUAAAAUAAUUAAAAAAGAAAAAAAACUUCUACAAAAAUAUCCCUAAAAAAACAUAUUUGGUAUGAAAUAUAAAAUUAAGAAAAUAGAAAAAAUAUAUAAAAAUUCCCCCAAAAACUAUAUAACCCCAUACAAAUCCCUCACAAUGCCAUAACCAUGCACUGCCUGUCAGAAUAAUGCUAAGAGGAAUAAUACACUGCACCACAAUAGUAGUGCAGUGUUUUAUAGAAAUAAUCAGAUCUUUGGUGAAAGGUUGCCCUCUAAUGGGAAUAUGGGUGAAAAAAACAACCCAUAAAAUAAAAGUGUAAUAACAUGAUUUAUUGACCCCCCCCCUCCCCCACCAACAAAAAAAGAAAAAGAAAACAGUAGAAAGGCAGAAAUGCUUUUUAAAAAAGAAAUACACAAUAAUAAUUUAUAAAAUUUUCUGCCCCCUCCCCCAAAGAAAACAUAUAUUACCCUUAAAAUGUAUGAAUAAAUAAAUGAAAAUUAAGACAUAACCCAAACAUUACAAAAACAAACCCUCCAAAAACCUGUCAAUAGUCUGCGUCAACAUCAUCCUGGGAUGAUGGGAAGAGUAGUACACUGCACUACUAUAGAAAUAAAAAUCCCUACCAUCUAAAUCCCAAUGUGUUCCAUUUUUUUUUUUGUUCCUUUUUCUUAUGCGGUUUCUUAAUCCCUGAGAUAAGUAGUUCUGGCCCUAGAGUGUUAUAUAUAUUAGCGUCUGUAGCAUGUAUCAGGAACAUGUUAUCAUACCUGUGUCUUUUUACAGGUGACUGAUGUCCGGUGAGAAGGUGAAAGUGACCUAUACCCCCGUCAACUGCAAGAAAGGAACCACAGGACAGGUAAUUAAUAUUUAUAUUAAUUACUGAUAACAAUCAGGCUAGAUGUAAUAUCUAGACCUGCAGAGAUGUCAUAGUCUCCACCUUAUACAUGAACAUAUAUGUGUUGUUAAUAAGCAUAUCGUCUAUGGACAGCUUGUUAUAUAACACAACCAUGUCUCAGGUACAGAGAAUAGGAACAUUUAUGAUCCUUAAUAUCUGUUUUUUAUUUGUAGGAAUUCCUUUUUCAAUAUUUAAUAGAAUAGACCCAACUUACCCCAAGGUUUACAAGUUUCCUUUAGACAAACUGACUGCAGAUUUAGAACAUAACUGUAAUGUAAAGAAAAAUCAAUAAUUUGUUUUUGCUACAAAUAUAUAAUUAUAAAAAUAAUGAGAAUUAAAAAACUAUAUAUUAAAAGACUAUAGCCAUAAUAAUACAUAGCCUGUUGAAAUAAUCAUGAAGCGCAUAAUACACUGCACUUUAAUACUAGUGCAGUGUAUUAUAUGAGCGAUCUUAAGAUCGCUGUUAAAAGUCCCCUUUGUAAAAAAAAACGUAAAGGCUAGCUAGGAAUUUUCAUCCGGGAUAACUAUUGCCGGAGGUUCCAAGCGUACAUUACCGUCAUCACAGAUGGCAAUGUAUUCUGCCCAGAUCCUAUGUAAAUGAAGUUAAAAAUAAACAAUUUAUAAAAUAAUUCACCCCACCCCAACCCCUACAAAAAAAUUAAUGUUUAUAUAAAAAAGAAUUAAAAAAAAAUAACCCAUUUCUCCCCUCAUAUAAGCUAUAAUUAAAAAUCGGCUGUCAACAUAAUGCUGACAGCGAUAAUACACUGCACUAUAACACUAUUGCAAUGUAUUAUAUGGGUGAUCACAAGAUCACUGGGGAAAGGCCUCUCAUCGAAUUUGUUAAAAAAAAAAGACCAAAAAAUAAAAAAUAAAGAAAAAAAAGUUAAAAAAAAUAUUCAAACAGAACACCCUAAAAAAAAAAUAUUAAAAAAAUAAAAAAUAAUUUUAAACCAAAAACCCGAAAUAAAACCCCUGACAAUACUGUAACCAUACAUUAUCUUUUAGAAUAAUGACAAGAGGCCUAAGACACUAGUGCAGUGUAUUAUUACAUAGCUAUCGAAAGAUUGCUUCUCAAAGUCCCUUGAUGGGAAUAGUUAAAGGAAAUUUGUUACCAGUGUCACCUGCACUAACCUGUCGGUACCAACAGAUAGUGCAGGUGACACUAAUGACAAAGGUCCUUGCCUUGUCCCGUUCCGUGGAGGGGAUCUCCGGUAAUCUUCUCUGUUAAGCUUCAGCUCUAGGCCCGGCUUGGGGCACGAGUGGAGCUUAGGAAUGUCACUGCUGCUACGAGUCCAGCAGAGAGCAGCAGCGGCUAGGGGCAUUGGCAGAGCUUAGUGACAUCACCGCUGCUGCUCCCUGCUUGGUCCCGCUGCUAAAGAACAGCAGUGGUGAUGUCCCUAUGCUCCGCCCAUGCACCAAGCUGGCCAGAGCUGAAGCUUAACAGAGAAGAUCACCGGAGAUUCCCGCAACUGAACGGGAAAAGGUAAGUACCGUUGUCACCAGUGUCACCUGCACUAUCUGUCAGUACCGCCACUUUUGUGUAGGUGACACUGGUGACAUAUUUCCAUUAAAAACAAUAAAAGAAAAAGAAGGUUAAUAAAAUAAUUAAAAAAGAAAAAAAACUUCUACAAAUAUAUCCCUAAAAAAACAUAUUUGGUAUGAAAUAUAAAAUUAAGAAAAUAGAAAAAAUAUAUAAAAAUUCCCCCAAAAACUAUAUAACCCCAUACAAAUCCCUCACAAUGCCAUAACCAUACACUGCCUGUCAGAAUACUGCUAAGAGGAAUAAUACACUGCACCACAAUAGUAGUGCAGUGUUUUAUAGAAAUAAUCAGAUCUUUGGUGAAAGGUUGCCCUCUAAUGGGAAUAUGGGUGAAAAAAACAACCCAUAAAAUAAAAGUGUAAUAACAUGAUUUAUUGACCCCCCCCCUCCCCCACCAACAAAAAAAGACAAAGAAAACAGUAGAAAGGCAGAAAUGCUUUUGAAAAAAGAAAUACACAAUAAUAAUUUAUAAAAUUUUCUGCCCCCUCCCUCAAAGAAAACAUAUAUUACCCUUAAAAUGUAUGAAUAAAUAAAUGAAAAUUAAGACAUAACCCAAACAUUACAAAAACAAACCCUCCAAAAACCUGUCAAUAGUCUGCGUCAACAUCAUCCUGGGAUGAUGGGAGGAGUAGUACACUGCACUACUAUAGAAAUAACAAUCCCUAUCAUCUAAAUCCCAAUGUGUUCCAAUUUUUUUUGUUCCUUUUUCUUAUGCGGUUUCAUAAUCCCUGAGAUAAGUAGUUCUGGCCCUAGAGUGUUAUAUAUAUUAGCGUCUGUAGCAUGUAUCAGGAACAUGUUAUCAUACCUGUGUCUUUUUACAGGUGACUGAUGUCCGGUGAGAAGUUGAAAGUGACCUAUACCCCCGUCAACUGCAAGAAAGGAACCACAGGACAGGUGACUGAUGUCCGGUGAGAAGGUGAAAGUGACCUAUACCCCCGUCAACUGCAAGAAAGGAACCACAGGACAGGUAAUUAAUAUUUAUAUUAAUUACUGAUAACAAUCAGGCUAGAUGUAAUAUCUAGACCUGUAGAGAUGUCAUAGUCUCCACCUUAUACAUGAACAUAUAUGUGUUGUUAAUAAGCAUAUCGUCUAUGGACAGCUUCUUAUAUAACACAACCAUGUCUCAGGUACAGAGAAUAGGAACAUUUAUGAUCCUUAAUAUCUGUUUUUUAUUUGUAGGAAUUCCUUUAUCAAUAUUUAAUAGAAUAGACCCAACUUACCCCAAGGUUUACAAGUUUCCUUUAGACAAACUGACUGCAGAUUUAGAACAUAACUGUAAUGUAAAGAAAAAUCUAUAAUUUGUUUUUGCUACAAAUAUAUAAUUAUAAAAAUAAUGAGAAUUAAAAAACUAUAUAUUAAAAGACUAUAGCCAUAAUAAUACAUAGCCUGUUGAAAUAAUCAUGAAGCGCAUAAUACACUGCACUUUAAUACUAGUGCAGUGUAUUAUAUGAGCGAUCUUAAGAUCGCUGUUAAAAGUCCCCUUUGUAAAAAAAACAUGUAAAGGCUAGCUAGGAAUUUUCAUCCGGAAUAACUAUUGCCGGAGGUUCCAAGCGUACAUUACCGUCAUCACAGAUGGCAAUGUAUUCUGCCCAGAUCCUAUGUAAAUGAAGUUAAAAAUAAACAAUUUAUAAAAUAAUUCACCCCACCCCAACCCCUACAAAAAAAUUAAUGUUUAUAUAAAAAAGAAUUAAAAAAAGAUAACCCAUUUCUCCCCUCACAUAAACUAUAAUUAAAAAUCGGCUGUCAACAUAAUGCUGACAGCGAUAAUACACUGCACUAUAACACUAUUGCAAUGUAUUAUAUGGGUGAUCACAAGAUCACUGGGGAAAGGCCUCUCAUCGAAUUUGUUAAAAAAAAGACCAAAAAAUAAAAAAUAAAGAAAAAAAAGUUAAAAAAAAUAUUCAAACAGAACACCCUAAAAAAAAACAUAUUAAAAAAAGAAAAAAUAAUUUUAAACCAAAAACCCAAAAUAAAACCCCUGACAAUACUGUAACCAUACAUUGUCUUUUAGAAUAAUGACAAGAGGCCUAAGACACUAGUGCAGUGUAUUAUUACAUAGCUAUCGAAAGAUUGCUGCUCAAAGUCCCUUGAUGGGAAUAGUUAAAGGAAAUUUGUCACCAGUGUCACCUGCACUAACCUGUCGGUACCAACAGAUAGUGCAGGUGACACUAAUGACAACGGUCCUUGCCUUGUCCCGUUCCGUGGAGGGGAUCUCCGGUAAUCUUCUCUGUUAAGCUUCAGCUCUAGGCCCGGCUUGGGGCACGAGUGGAGCUUAGGAAUGUCACUGCUGCUACGAGUCCAGCAGAGAGCAGCAGCGGCUAGGGGCAUUGGCAGAGCUUAGUGACAUCACCGCUGCUGCUCCCUGCUUGGUCCCGCUGCUAAAGAACAGCAGUGGUGAUGUCCCUAUGCUCCGUCCAUGCACCAAGCUGGCCAGAGCUGAAGCUUAACAGAGAAGAUCACCGGAGAUUCCCGCGACUGAACGGGAAAAGGUAAGUACCGUUGUCACCAGUGUCACCUGCACUAUCUGUCAGUACCACCACUUUUGUGUAGGUGACACUGGUGACAUAUUUCCAUUAAAAACAAUAAAAGAAAAAGAAGGUUAAUAAAAUAAUUAAAAAAGAAAAAAAACUUCUACAAAAAUAUCCCUAAAAAAACAUAUUUGGUAUAAAAUAUAAAAUUAAGAAAAUAGAAAAAAUAUAUAAAAAUUCCCCCAAAAACUAUAUAACCCCAUACAAAUCCCUCACAAUGCCAUAACCAUGCACUGCCUGUCAGAAUAAUGCUAAGAGGAAUAAUACACUGCACCACAAUAGUAGUGCAGUGUUUUAUAGAAAUAAUCAGAUCUUUGGUGAAAGGUUGCCCUCUAAUGGGAAUAUGGGUGAAAAAAACAACCCAUAAAAUAAAAGUGUAAUAACAUGAUUUAUUGACC